CAUUUCUGAGACUGGAAAGGGCCUAACUAAUUGAAAUUGAAUUAAAAUAAAUGGAUUUUCUCUCUCUUACAAACAAAUAGCAUUUGAAAUUAGACACCUAAAUCCUCCUCUUCUUUCUCUCUAUGCCGUGAAUUAGAUAAGACAGUUGACCCUUCAGACCUGGAUUUGAAUCUUAACUUGCCCAUAUACUAACUGUGCAACCUCUUCAACAUAUAACUUACUUCUUGGAGCUUUGGUUUCCUCAUCUGUGUAUAGUCACACACAUGGGAUCUAAAAGUUGGAACACACCAAGAAUAUUGAGCCAACUGCUCUUAUGCAAGUUUUCUCUUUUGGAAGGGGGUGUUGGGAGGAGGGAAUGAUCACACUAUUGAGGAAGGGAGAUUCCUUAAAACCAUGACUCCAAAAGCAGCUGCUGAUUACUCACAAAAACCCACACAUCCUUGUCCUUAACAAAUGUUAUGCCACAGGGUAGCUUUAGCCCUGAUCAAAACACGGACAACAAUAACCUCUUGGUCAGAAAGGAAAAAGGAGAUAGAGAGGGAAGGAAGAGUUAAAGAAAGAGAAAAGGAGAAUAAGAUGAGAAAGAAAAAACAGUUUGAAAUAGAUUUACAGCAAGGCUCUGCCACAUAUGCAGGAAUAGGGAGGGCUUAAUUUGUAAUAAGUCCCUGGAACAGAAAAGAGUCCCAAGCAUACAAUUCUUGUAAACUUGUGGCUUUAGCAUCUUGCCCCAAACCAUCUGCACAGAGUUCUCAGCCCUUCUGUGAAAUCAUCACUCCACCCUGUUUU
rnacentral:lncRNA from 1 species